UGGAGGAAAAAAAGACAGCCAUGCAGCGCGCCUGUCCUGAGCCCGGCGAGAUUUGCAUACAGUGUUUAGUCAUGAAGGAGAGUGCUCUUACUUCCUCUAAGUACGAGGGCUGACUUUCAGGAAAUGAUGCCUGCUUGUGGACAAAUGGGGCAAAAUACAGGCAACAAAGCUGGAACACGGAAAGGAAACAUGACACUGUCUCAGAUACCAGGACUGCUGAAUUGAUUUUGCAAUACCGCAGCGAUAUAAUCACAGAACUGAAGAUAACCAACUGGAAAACCACCACCUGGUAUUUUAAGAUCCCGUCCUAAGGGAGAAGGUAUGCCACAGCAUUUCCCUUCUCCGCAAUUAAUUCAUGAACGUGCGUGCUGUCCAAGGGGGGAUAGGAAAGCAGAGCUGUUCCAGUGUUCACAGCAGCAAUUUGACUUACCAUCUUCCACCCAAACCUGAACGGUGAAACCCUGCUAGCGGCUCUGGCAGCUGAUCUUCCCAGGUAAUCUUCACCUGCAACCUUGGAAUCAGCGGCCUACAGGACAGCUUCCUGAACGUGCUGAUGGUUUCCAGCACACGCUUUCAGAACUUCUCGGAAGGCAGAAGCACAGAUCGAUGCAGGACAACACCCCCAGUGCAGGAGGAGACCUGGCAGCUCAUCGCCCCCCCAGCAACCCAAGAGCUGGGGCUACAUUUCCUGCAGCUGGAAGGCACCGCGCAUGGUGUUAUCCAGGGAAUAACCACCAGGUGAGACAGGGAAAGCAGAAAGCGUUCCUGCAGGAGGCAAAACUCCGGGUGACAGCUGUGGUAGGAGCAUCAGUGCCCGGGACAACCAGCAGAAGCGAGGGGUGUUUGUGACAGCCCCCGGGUGGAAGCUCAGCGCUCCCGGGGAGGGCGGUCACCGCCAGCAGAACGGUGGGCAGGGAAACUCGCUCCAUCACACUGACUCAGACCAACUCUGCUUUGAAUUAAAGCAUCUAUUUUAAUACAUCUCCCAGUGCUUUGCUAUUAAAUUAUAUUACCAGCU